rnacentral:tRNA from 1 species
AGUACUACGCCGGAUGAACGGAAAUCAUUGAUGUUGAUUAUCAUGGGGUACUUAAAACCUCUAGUACUA